CUUGCUCUUCUGGCAAUUCUCAGGAGUGGUGAAAUCAAAGUCAUAGACAGCAUAUCGGCACUCGUCCUCUGGAAUAGAUCCGGUGAAAUCGUCAAUUUGAGCUUGCACUCAUCGCUUACAUGCAUCCCAGAAGCUGAGUUAGCCUGCACAAUCGAACACACGCAUAGUGAACUAAUAUGAUCACAACAUAUUACAUGAUUGAUUGAUUGAUUGGUGAUACCAUAUAUAUAAAAAAAAAAAAAA